CACAGAUCUCAAGUAAUAGCCAAUUAGUUCUUUCUGAAAAGUGAGUUUAAUUCUGGGGUCUCCUUUAUUCUAAAGAGAACAUGACUGUGAGCCUCUGCGUCUGGUUUUAGCCAACUCAGUACUUCAAAUAUUUUGUCCCAUUAAAUUCUUUCAUCCAUAUUUGAUACACCUGGAAGCAAAUCUGCCGUGCAAUAUGCGUAAUUACUUGGAUGUCCACAUUUGCAAUUUUUUUUUCUAUCUACAUGCAUUUUCUCGAUUUAGACAAACUUCAGGUUGUCUCAGACAGUAAUUCAGAUUGUUUGCUUUCAAGCAGAGCCUGGAUCCAAGCGGUGUGUAAAAUUAGCUGGUACUUUCACUUUGACCUGCACUUCCCAAAUACAUGAGCACAACAGUUUGUACAUAUUCAGAAUUAUGUAGUAUAGGAAACUCAAUGUGUCUUGCACUGUCAUUUCUUUACCUACUUAAAGUUUUUAAAAUAACAUUUGUCAUAGGUGAAAGCUACUUAUUUGUGUGGCUUAGAUCAGAUUCAAAGCAGUUUGUGGAUUUAUUAGUGAGAUGUAAUUAACUGGCAAUAAGUGAACUAUAUGUUCAGGAUCAAUACCAGCAGUGCAACAGAAAAACCGCAAUACUAAACACCACAGAACAUUAAUAAACAUCAACAAACUUCUAAGUGAUUUUCCAUAAUUAACCUACAUACAGCCACAGAGCAGGCUCAUGGCCCGCAGCCCUUCCAGGCAGCAUGGUUGCAAACCCUUUGAGAAGUUUGUGUUCCUGUGGUACAGCUCCUCUAGGGAUGGGUUGCUCCCUGCUGCACAUGCCCUUGCUGCCGCCUGCAUCCCAUAAGGCUGCAGCAUGGUCCCCUGUGUGUACUAAGAAGAGACCUCCCUGUUCCAUCCCACGCUGAGAGUGUGUGAGUCCUGCACCCUACGAGGACAUGUAGGCCUGGCCCUGGCAGGGCUGGGAGGCUGUGGGGCAAGGCCUGGCUGUGCCACCCUGAGUCACUGCUCCUCAGCCCACUGCAAGGCCUCUCCCAACACCUUUUGCAAAUCUCUGUGCUUCCACACUGCAUUUCAGUCUGUGCUUCAAAAAUAUCUUCAUAAUUCUCUGGUUACUGCUCAGUCUCACUGGUGGCUGUUGUGGAGUUCUUCCUUAGUAUUCUCAGUUUGGGACAAACACACAGGUGGAUUUGGUCCCAACUCACAUACAUCGCAUUUUUCCUAUAUUCGCAAUUUCCAGUGCACAAUUCCUAUAUUCUCAGGUGUUGGUUUUGAGGGCAUUUGCCCUAGAGAUCUGGCAAUGUCAUUUCUUGAUAGAAGAGUGAUGAGUUGCUUUUGUGUAUGCCAGAAGAUAUAUGUGUAUAUAGUGUAUGGUCAGCUUAUGAGCAGAGGUUUCUUGGUAGUGGCCUAG
rnacentral:lncRNA from 1 species